rnacentral:rRNA from 1 species
CGUACACUCCUACGGGAGGCAGCAGUGAGGAAUAUUGGACAAUGGGUGGAAGCCUGAUCCAGCCAUCCCGCGUGCAGGAAGACGGCCCUAUGGGUUGUAAACUGCUUUUAUCUGGGGAUAAACCUACUUACGUGUAAGUAGCUGAAGGUACCAGAAGAAUAAGCACCGGCUAACUCCGUGCCAGCAGCCGCGGUAAUACGGAGGGUGCAAGCGUUAUCCGGAUUUAUUGGGUUUAAAGGGUCCGUAGGCGGACUGAUAAGUCAGUGGUGAAAUCCGACAGCUUAACUGUCGAACUGCCAUUGAUACUGUUAGUCUUGAGUAAGGUUGAAGUGGCUGGAAUAAGUAGUGUAGCGGUGAAAUGCAUAGAUAUUACUUAGAACACCAAUUGCGAAGGCAGGUCACUAAGUCUUAACUGACGCUGAUGGACGAAAGCGUGGGGAGCGAACAGGAUUAGAAACCCUGGUAGUCCCA